AGUACAGUAGAGGUGGGCGGAAUUCGUGGUGUAGCGGCGAAAUGCUUAGAUAUCACGAAGAACUCCGAUUGCGAAGGCAGCUCACUAGACUGCAACUGACACUGAUGCUCGAAAGUGUGGGUAUCAAACAGGAUUAGAUACCCUGGUAGUCCACACAGUAAACGAUGAAUACUCGCUGUUUGCGAUAUACAGCAAGCGGCCAAGCGAAAGCAUUAAGUAUUCCACCUGGGGAGUACGCCGGCAACGGUGAAACUCAAAGGAAUUGACGGGGGCCCGCACAAGCGGAGGAACAUGUGGUUUAAUUCGAUGAUACGCGAGGAACCUUACCCGGGCUUAAAUUGCAUUUGAAUAAUCUGGAAACAGGUUAGCCGCAAGGCAAAUGUGAAGGUGCUGCAUGGUUGUCGUCAGCUCGUGCCGUGAGGUGUCGGCUUAAGUGUCAUAACGAGCGCAACCCUUAUCUUUAGUUACUAACAGGUCAUGCUGAGGACUCUAGAGAGACUGCCGUCGUAAGAUGUGAGGAAGGUGGGGAUGACGUCAAAUCAGCACGGCCCUUACGUCCGGGGCUACACACGUGUUACAAUGGGGGGUACAGAAGGCAGCUACCUGGCGACAGGAUGCUAAUCCCAAAAACCUCUCUCAGUUCGGAUCGAAGUCUGCAACCCGACUUCGUGAAGCUGGAUUCGCUAGUAAUCGCGCAUCAGCCAUGGCGCGGUGAAUGCGUUCCCGGGCCUUGUACACACCGCCCGUCAAGCCAUGAAAGCCGCCCGUAAGGGAAGUACGUAACCGUAAGGAGCGUCCUA
rnacentral:rRNA from 1 species